CCAACCCUGCAUGCCCGACACACCACAUGAGUAUUUGUUCUCACUGACCACGUCACAUGACCGUUUCUCAACAGAUGGGUUUGAUAAAUAAGCACCCAUGUUAAAAGUUAAUUACUUUUCAGCAUAAAUCAUAUGACAGCUUGUACACUAAACACCUUAUUCAAACAGAAUAAACAUGUUUAUGCGUAAUAUAAGAUCGUUGAACUGACAUUCGCUUAUUCCCGUUUCAACUUAUGCUAAUAAUUCCUUCCAGAUUUGUUAUUUUGGCCGCAACGCAGGCCACACACUCUCAGCGAGUCUCCAGGACUGCACAUGUGUU